rnacentral:rRNA from 1 species
AGUGGCGGACGGGUGAGUAACGCGUGAGAAUCUGCCUUGGGGUCGGGGACAACCACUGGAAACGGUGGCUAAUACCGGAUAAGCCGAUUGGUGAAAGAUUUAUUGCCCGAAGAGGAGCUCGCGUCUGAUUAGCUAGUUGGUGAGGUAAGAGCUCACCAAGGCAGCGAUCAGUAGCUGGUCUGAGAGGACGAUCAGCCACACUGGGACUGAGACACGGCCCAGACUCCUACGGGAGGCAGCAGUGGGGAAUUUUCCGCAAUGGGCGAAAGCCUGACGGAGCAAGACCGCGUGAGGGAGGAAGGCUCUUGGGUUGUAAACCUCUUUUCUCAGGGAAGAAGCUCUGACGGUACCUGAGGAAUCAGCCUCGGCUAACUCCGUGCCAGCAGCCGCGGUAAUACGGAGGAGGCAAGCGUUAUCCGGAGUUAUUGGGCGUAAAGCGUCCGCAGGUGGCGAUUCAAGUCUGCUGUCAAAGCACGGGGCUUAACUCCGUAAAGGCAGUGGAAACUGAAUAGCUAGAGUGCCGUAGGGGUAGAGGGAAUUCCCGGUGUAGCGGUGAAAUGCGUAGAGAUCGGGAAGAACAUCGGUGGCGAAAGCGCUCUACUGGACGGCAACUGACACUCAGGGACGAAAGCUAGGGGAGCGAAUGGGAUUAGAUACCCC